rnacentral:rRNA from 1 species
GACGAACGCUGGCGGCGUGCUUAACACAUGCAAGUCGAACGGAGUGGCGAACGGGUGAGUAACACGUGGGUGAUCUGCCUUGCACUUCGGGAUAAGCUUGGGAAACUGGGUCUAAUACCGGAUAGUGCAAGAUGAGCUCGCGGCCUAUCAGCUUGUUGGGGGGGUAAUGGCCUACCCAGGCGUCGACGGGUAGCCGGCCUGGGAGGGUGUACGGCCACAUUGGGACUGAGAUACGGCCCAGGCUCCUACGGGCGGCAGCAGUGGGGAAUAGUGCACAAUGGGCGGAAGGCUGAAUGAGCGACGCCGGGUGGGGGAGGAAGGCCUUCGGGUUGUAAACUCCUUUCGACAGGGACGCGGUACCUGUAUAAGAAGCAACGGCUAACUACGUGCCAGCAGCCGCGGUAAUAC